ensembl:lncRNA novel transcript
GCAGUAAUGUGCAGUCAGAAGACUAAGUUCCACAUCAACAGUGCUUAAUUUAGCGGAACACUGGAAUGAUCUCAUAGCUGAACACUGGAAUCAUCUCGCCAGCAUUAAAAAUUACUGAUGCCUGCCUGGGUCCUACGUACAGAGACUCUGAUUCAAUGGGUCUGGGAAGUGGCCCUGGCAUUGGGAUUUUUUUAAGUUCCUUCAGUGUAUCUGGUACGUUGCAAAGAUUGAGAACAACUCUUCUACAUGAAAUACUAUAAGUUCUACAAGGACAAGAAUUUUGUCUGCUUUGUCCAGUGAGCCUGAACCAGUGCCUGGCACAUAGGAGAUAAUAAAUCAAUAUCUAUCUAAUUAGUUGUUAUCAGAAGGAUUUUUCAUCUGAAAUGGGCAUUCUCAUCUUUCACUGAAAGUUAAACUGUCUUCCAAGGAAGAGAUGAAGAAACAAAUUCUCAGCUACUUUGGCAUAUCUGCAAAAGCCUGAAAGCUCUGUCAAAUAUUCAGCACAAUAAUUCUGCAACACUUCAGAUGGUCACCUAAACCUGCCAAUAGAUCUGCUUUGACCAGCUACUCAGGUUGAGCAGAAACUUUUAACUCUCAACCUCCAAGAUAAUAAAUGUUAAUGAGAUGAUAAUUUACUCCCUUGAAUUGUCAUUUAAAACAUUCUUUGAUCCUCUUCCCUUCAUGGGGGAGGGGGGAACCACAUCCCCUUUUUUUGAAUCUGGGUAGGUUUACAGUCCAACAGAGUACAACAGAGAUGAUGCUGUGAGACAUCUGAGGCUAUUAUAAAGACCAUGUGACUUCUUUAUUGUUCACUGUAGCGCUUGUUCUUGAAACCCUGAGCUGCCAUAUAAGAAAUUCUACUAGCCAGAGGCCUCCAUACUGGAAGGCCAUGUAUAGAUGUGCCUGUUCACAGUCCCACUGGAGUGUACCUUCCAGCUUUCCUCAGGAAAGAAACAGAAACUAGAAGAACCCUUCUUGGACCUUACAGAUUGAACAUCUGCCAGUUGAAUACCAAUAAACAACCUUUGUCAACAAUACAUGGAACAGAAGAAUCACCUAUGCAAGCCCCACUCAAGUUCUUUACCCAUAAAGUCAUGAUAUAAUGAUACGGUUAUUGUAAACCCUACAACGUGCUUACAAGUGUUUGUUGCCUGAAACAGACAAGUGAAACAACAACUCUGCAAAUACAAUUAAAUUAUCAGUAAUUCCAUAAUCUUAUAAUUAUAGUUUCUUAGUAAAAAUAUUAUUUUCUUUAUGAAUAUGUAAAUUGACUAAGUGAGUUUCCUAAUGUGAAAGAGUCUAAAAGGGAAUCUCAACAUGCUGACUGGUAUUUUAUGAGUCUACAUUUGAGGAAUGUCUGUCCAUUGCCAAUACAACUUUUUAAUAUGACAUGAAGUGGUGGGAAGACGAUGGACUACAAGUCUGGGUUCUGGUCUUACUUCUGCCACUUUGUAGCUAUGAGACCUUUGCUAAAUCUUUUAACUUCUCUAAGCCACAGUUUUGUCAUCUACGAAAUAAAAUAAUAGUAUUCUGUCCUACUUACCUAACGUAGUGGUAGAAAAGAUCAGAUGAAAUAAUGAGCAUGAAAAUGGCUUUAAAUGUAAAGUACAGUGCAAGUGCAUGGACUUAGUAUUGUCACGUGAUGUUAACCACUAUGAAAUUUUAACAAUGGUUUCCAUGUUGUCAGAUUCCAUGGCCGCAUCUCUGAUCUCACCUUCUUCAUCCCCUGGGUAGCAGCAUUUGCCACUGGUGACCAGUCCCUCUCUCAGUAGCCUUUUCAUACCCUUGGCUUCCUUUUUUUGUUGUUUUUUGUUUGUUUGUUUUUUGAGACGGAUCUCGCUCUGUCACCCAGGCUGGAGUGCAGUGGUGCAAUCUCAGCUCACUGCAACCUCCAUCUCUAGGUUCAAGAGAUUCUCCUGCCUCGGCCUCCCAAGUAGCUGAGAUUACAGGCACAUGCCAACAUGUUCAGCUAAUUUUUGUAUUUUUAAUAGAGACGGGGUUUCACCACGUUGGCCAGGCUGGUCUCGAACUCCUGACCUCAGGUGAUCUGCCAGUCUCAGCCUCCCAAAGUGCUGGGAUUACAGGCAUGAGCCACCGUGCCCGGCCAUCCUUGGUCUCCUUGACACUUGGUUUCUUCCCAGCUCAGAGGUCAGUCCUCUGUUUUAUUUGCACACCUGUCUUCUUCUUUCAGAUCUGUUAAUACUGGAACAACCCAAUGCUUGGCCCAGUGGCCCUCCAUUCUUCUCUGUCUGUAUUCUCUCCCCUAAGAGAUCUCAUCCAGGACAAUGACAUUAAAUAACAAUGAUAUUCUGAUAACUCUCAGAAGCAUGCCUCCCACUUUGGCUUCUCCACUGAACUCCAGACUUAAGUAUCCAACUGCAUGGACAACACUGCCACUUGGCUGUCUAAAAACUAUCUUGUACUUAAAUGGGAACUACUGAUUCCCUCCUGCUGCUCCAAAUACACUAGUUUCGGUUUUCGCCAUCUCCAUAACUUGAACUUACAGUCAGGGCCCCUGCAUGGUAUUGUGCAAGUUAUGAAGAAUGCAACCUACACAGCAUUCUACGGCACCCCUGCUUUAAUUCAUGGAACUGCUCACACCAAAACCACAGGUAUUAUUCCUGAGUUCUCUUAUAACCUGACUGUUGACAUAACUCUAAAUUCUCCAAACAACUCUGCUGCCAUCCCAGUUCAAGCUCUCAUCUUCAUCCUGGGCCAGUGCAACACUUCACAAACAGGCUUCCCGCUGAUACCCCUCGUCCCUCUUAACAUCCAUUUUCCACCCAGCAGUAAGAAUAACUUUUAUUAUAAAAAGAGAUCGUGCCUUUUUCAGUGGCUCGAAAUCCUCCAAUGGUUUCCUGGUACACUCAAAAUAAAACCCAAGCUUCUCAUCUUGGCCUGCAAGACCUGUAACGGCCUGGCCCCAGCCAACUCUGCAGCUGCACCCCAUGGCACUGUCCCCUCAGUCACUCCAUUCAUCCUGGCCACUUUCUGCUCCUUGAAUAUGACACAUCACCAUAUUUUUUUAUAAUACAUUCCAGAGCUAGCCAAGAAUGGGGGGAAAAAAUAAAAGUAGUAUACCUUCAUGUUACUGAAGUUCCUUUUGUAUCUAUCUCGUUUCUGGAAGAGGGAAGUUGCCAGUGGAGAGACUUCCAGACCCAUCUGGGCCAUGCACUCUGUUUCUCUAAAUAAGAUUAAUAUCUGAGGGUCAAAGUUUACAAACAAUUCCCCUGUGCCUGGAGCCUUCACCAAUAAUGAAGCCUCAAGACCUACAUGAAUUUCUUCAAUCUGUGGGAAGAAACCAACAUCAUUACUAUCAGAAAGUUCAAUUCAUGCAGAGUAUCUAGCUCAGCUAUCUCUAGGAAUAAGGAUCAUUAAAUGUUCUUCCAUGGAUUUGAGCUUCCUAAAUUAAGGGCAAUAAGAUCACUCACUCUUCUCCUAAAUCCAGUCUCAUACAAUAGCCUUCAAGUUCUUGGUGUUGAUGUUGGGCAGUCAAUUCAAUAAAACCUUUCAAUGACUCUAACACUGAUAAAUAAGUGGACACUGCAACAGUGGUGGCGUCUCAAAAGCCAUUUAGCUACCUGAUACCUUCAUGCCUACUCUAUUAUUCUUCCUAAUAAAAGUUUCGUAAGACCUCCUAAACUCAGUUUUUACUUAUCUAGAAAAACAAUGAACACAGCUAUGGAGACAUCGCAUCCUGACAGCCUACAAAGAAAUACAUGUAUUGGUAGGAUAUGCUAUGAUUAACCAGUUGUACAACAAAAGAAAAUUUGAAACUUUGUUUAACAGAUGUGCUAGUGUUUACUGACAUAUUUAGGAUCUGACUGAAUUUUAAAAAGCAAGAUAUCCUAAUAGAUUGGGCAUAGGAACCAAUAAACAAGAUCUUCUCACUUUGGAGUUCGUAAAUUAAAU